AACGAACGCUGGCGGCAGGCUUAACACAUGCAAGUCGAACGCCCCGCAAGGGGAGUGGCAGACGGGUGAGUAACGCGUGGGAAUCUACCCAGAUCUUCGGAACAACUGAGGGAAACUUCAGCUAAUAACGGAUACGCCCUACGGGGGAAAGAUUUAUCGCCAAAGGAUCGGCCCGCGUUGGAUUAGGUAGUUGGUGGGGUAAUGGCCUACCAAGCCGACGAUCCAUAGCUGGUUUGAGAGGAUGAUCAGCCACACUGGGACUGAGACACGGCCCAGACUCCUACGGGAGGCAGCAGUGGGGAAUCUUAGGCAAUGGGGGAAACCCUGAUCUAGCCAUGCCGCGUGAUCGAUGAAGGCCUUAGGGUUGUAAAGAUCUUUCAGUGGGGAAGAUAAUGACUGUACCCACAGAAGAAGCCCCGGCUAACUCCGUGCCAGCCGCCGCGGUAAUAC
rnacentral:rRNA from 1 species